rnacentral:rRNA from 1 species
AAACCAACAGGGAUUGCCUUUAGUAGCGGCGAGUGAAGCGGCAAAAGCUCAAAUUUGAAAUCUGGCACUUUCAGUGUCCGAGUUGUAAUUUGAAGAAGGUAUCUUUGGGUCUGGCUCUUGUCUAUGUUUCUUGGAACAGAACGUCACAGAGGGUGAGAAUCCCGUGCGAUGAGAUGUCCCAGACCUAUGUAAAGUUCCUUCGAAGAGUCGAGUUGUUUGGGAAUGCAGCUCUAAGUGGGUGGUAAAUUCCAUCUAAAGCUAAAUAUUGGCGAGAGACCGAUAGCGAACAAGUACAGUGAUGGAAAGAUGAAAAGAACUUUGAAAAGAGAGUGAAAAAGUACGUGAAAUUGUUGAAAGGGAAGGGCUUGAGAUCAGACUUGGUAUUUUGUAUGUUACUCUCUCGGGGGUGGCCUCUACAGUUUACCGGGCCAGCAUCAGUUUGAGCGGUAGGAUAAGUGCAAAGAAAUGUGGCACUGCUUCGGUAGUGUGUUAUAGUCUUUGUCGAUACUGCCAGCUUAGACUGAGGACUGCGGCUUCGGCCUAGGAUGUUGGCAUAAUGAUCUUAAGUCGC